rnacentral:lncRNA from 1 species
UCGGUUGCUGUCAUUGGGCAGGUUAGCGAAUCGUCCUCCCACCCAAUAUUUUUUAGCAAUUAUUUGUUCCGCUGGUUAGAUGAAACAUGUUGCUUACUUAUUGCACGAAGAACUGACUUGAUCAUAGUGUUACUCUCUUUUUUUGAAUUAAAUCCUUAAUUUGAUAGCUGCUUCCCUAAAUUAGUUUUAGAACAAUAAAUCAAUUGACAGUAGAGUAGCGCAUGUACGUGCAAAGUUAGAUAGGCAGGUGGAUAGAUUCCGUCGAAGUCACACGUACGAAGCUAGCUCACAUACGUAGAGCCGCCGCCUUGAUGCAUGUACGACAGUACGUACAGAGGAACAGGAAAAUUUCGACUAGAAACACGCACGCACACGACACAGGAGCACACAGCGAAUUGAUGGCCACAGGACCAUGUGAGUCCUGUUUGAUUUCUUUCUAUUGAUCCCACUAUCCAUUACAUAUGAGGUGUUAUUUACAUACAUGUAUAUAUAUUACUUGGCUUGACUUAAUACAAACCUGGCAUGCGCAUCCACGUAGGAUACACAUGCAUACACGGCGGACGCGGGAUUAACUCUAAUACCCUAGAGGGUAAACAAGUACUAAUCUUCAGAAUUUUGUGUCCAUAGCGAUUAAUCUUUUUGUAUUCCUUUAAUUUGUUAUAUUCAAGUUCUACAUUAUUUCUUUUUUGCAGUCUUUGGUUGAAAACAAUGGUCUGCGAUAUACUCGAUGCGAAGGAUUCCUGGAAAGGUAAUUAGGCUUUAGCAUGUCAUUAACCCUGAAAGCAAUGAAAUAUUUUUUUUCUAGCGAUUUGUUAUACUGUUUUUUCAAUCACAUUAGUAGAGUACGCAGUUCACAUUGUUUACAUACUACACGGCAACCAAGAGUUAAUCAAAGUUUUGUACUCGGCUUGCGCCUCUAAUAAUCUCCGCAAUUUUGUAUUCCUUUCAUAUGUAUUGAAGUUAUGUUUUAUUUUUUUCUUUGCUUCGAAAGCAAUGGCACCUGAUAUGCUUGAUUCAAUUAGCAAGGAAAUUGAUUAAAUAGGAAAUUAGGACUUAUAGAAGCUAUUAUGAAUUUAUAGGCUUCUUUGUCUAUCAUAAUGCAUUGUAUUUGCUUCAUAGCAAGGUAAUGAAACAUUGGUUAGCAAGAUAUGGCCAUUGGUCUACCAAGCUUCCGUUUACAUGGUAUCAAAUUUUUGGUUACAUCUUUGUGGAAUUUCCAUCCAUUUGAAGGUGACAACAUACUGGUAUUUUUUUCACAUGAUGAAAUUUCACGAUAUAAAAUGUCUAAAAAAAUUGGGAUAGCCAAACAAAGAUGCACAUUUUCUAGCAUUGAUGUUCUUUCGAGCAAAGAUGCUAGACGAUUUACUUAUCUGGUAGAACUAUAUUUGUUGAAAUUAUGAAUUCAUGUGGUCUCUCCAUAUUAACACUGCCUAAAAAAGAACCAUGUAAUUUGCACCGUUACAUGUGAUUUGGGUGCAACAACAAUCUGCACCAUGUUUUAGGAAGAGUAAAAAUAUGAUUAAGAAAUCUGCAAUAUUAUGGAUAGAUAUGGAUGAUUGUGACAUCAAUAGAGGACAAACAAAUACAGAAAAUAUGUGCACAGCAAUUGGUAGAUGCCAAUACCUCAUGUAUAGUUACCAAGAUUAUUGUGUAUAGGAUGCUCUAUAUUGUUCACUAUCUACCACAUGCCACAUUAUAUAAUUAUUCUUUUGUGUUAAUUAACAAAAAAAUGUUUUCGUAUAAGCAUGUUGCUGACAAUAAGAUAAUUGUGCAGGAAACCAAAAAGACUAGGAUGGGAACACAUGUUGCAUUUUAUUCUGAUGAAGAAUUGGGAAUAAGGGCAUUCAGGAUAGAGAUGUGGCAGCAUUGAUAUAAUACUGGAAAACAAUGCUGAUGUUGAGCAUUCA